GCGAGAAUGACAGAGACUUGGAGAGGGAGGCUGUGCUCAGGAUUUGUCCCCAGUGCCUUAUUUAGUUCACUUGGUGAGGUCAUGUUUUCAUGGAUAGUGUUGAUGCUAGUAGAUGUUCUUCAGUGUCUGUACAUUAAAAUUUUGGGCAUGCAGCACCAUAUGAGAGGUUUAAAAAAAUAAAAUUAAAAAAGAGAAAAGUGGUGGGAUUGCUGAAUCAGACAGAGCCGAUUGAUGAUUAGUAAUGGUGGCCAACAACCAGCUAGAAGCAAAGUACUUAGCAGGGCCUGAAAAUGCCAAAACUCUGAGGCCACUGACCUUCAAAAACUUCAACAGCCCUGAGUGAAACGUCCAAACACAUUUAUCCACCAUGCCAAGACCCUUUAUUUCUGCCCUCUGUGCAUCUCAGAAGUCUCUUUUUACCACACUGUCUAUAUACUGCAUGAGCCAUUUAUAUGAAAAUACCUGACACUCCAAGGCACCUUAUACUAUGUAUUCAACCAUGUAUCUCUAGUACCUAGCACAGUCCUGGCAUAUAGUUUGCUACUAAACAUUUGCGGAAUGAAGUAAUUAUCUUAUAUCCAGGUUCCAAGUUUUAAGGUGAUUUCUCACUAAAAACAAAGUGUUACAGUUCACAAAUAAUCUACUUCCUUUUUUACAGAUGGGAUUAACUUUAAUCUUAUCCCCUAAUAAUAUUACUUUAAUUUACUUCCAUCUAAAUAUACUGUCCUAAGACAGUAAUAAGAAGGAGAGUUGAAGCUAGAGCUUGAAGAAUUGUACAUGGUCCACACUG